rnacentral:lncRNA from 1 species
UUAUCAAAGAAGAACGAAGAACUGAAAGGGAGGUAUCAACGGAUAUAUGGAUAACACUGAGCACUUGUCUCUCAUUAAUAGAGUUGACAAAGUACAAGUGUACAACCACUACCUCCACUACUCUGUUUUCUGUCUACGCUACAAGACAAAACAACAGCCAUGCCUGCAGAAUUUGUACAACUCAAGAUGGGAAUGAAUUUGAAGUUUAUUCUUCAAAGGACUACACCCAAAUCAGGCAAAGGAUCACUGGUGGAUAAUCAAAGGAUUUCAAACGACUCUUUAGACGUACUGAUUAUCUCAACGUCUCUUUCACGCCUCUAUAUAAAGGAGUGAAGACUUGAAGAUAAAACAGAGAUAUACAUAAGUUCAAAAGCGCCAAAACUCUGUCAAUUUGAUACUAAAAAGCACACUGAAUUUCUGCACUGAUUUGAUACAUCUUAGAAAUUCAUAGUCAUGCCCAGCUUCGGUACNNNNNNNNNNNNNNNNNNNNNNNNNNNNNNNNNNNNNNNNNNNNNNNNNNNNNNNNNNNNNNNNNNNNNNNNNNNNNNNNNNNNNNNNNNNNNNNNNNNNUUGAUCAAUCACCAAUGAUCUUUUGCCUGAUAUGGUUAUUGUCCUAUGAAGGAUCAAUUUCAAAUAUAUUCCCAUUGUGAAGGAACAUCGUUGUAGGCAGAGCUGUUUUUCUUGUCUUGUAGCAGAGACAAAAAACAUAGUAGUGGAGGUAGUGGUUGUACACUUUGUACAAUUGUACUUUGUCAACGCUCUUUGAAGAACAAGCAUCCAAUGCCUUCAAAUCCUUUCAAAAUAGUCGUUGCUUCACUUUUCCAGUCUUCUGUAUUGUUUAAACGAGAUUAAAUCCAUUGAACAGUCUUUGAAGCUUUAAGUCUUGCAUCUUCUGAUGAGACAGCUUCUGGUGAUCUUCAGCUUCUGAUGAGAUGCUUCUGAUGAACUUGCUUCUGAUGAGGUCAUCACUUCAGGAGCACUUGUGUCUUCAGGAGCGCUUCUCUUCAUAUGCUUCAAGCUUCCUUUUUGUUUUCUUUUUGUUGAUUCCAUUGCUCUCUUUUGUUCUUCCAUAACCUUUUUAAGAUGACAAAUUUUUGUCUAUGGUUUUGUACACUUGAACAAAUAUUAGCAUAUCCAAUUAACAAUUUUUAAUACCUUGUUAUCAUCAAAUCUCUCAAAGAGUAAUGUUAAACACAUUUUGUUCCAACAAAUCAAUGUUGAACACCAAUUGCCAACUUAUUGGUUUAGUCGUUCUGAAGUUCUUUUUAUAUGCAAUCUAAUCUCUAAUUUGAAGUUCCUUUGUAUAGAAGAAUUCUAUUCAGGAGAUUGACAUGAAUAUUUGCAUCUCAUAUUUCCUUAUUCAAUCUUGUUCUUCAAUUUUGUAGUACCUUUGAGACGAUUCUAAUCUCGUUUUGAAGUACUUCUGGUCAUUAUAAAGUCCUUCUUAGCACUUGAUGUUGUUAAGAUUUUCAUAUUUCUUUGAAUAUUUGUGCAUUUGUAAUAUCAUGUAUUCAUGUUUCAAAGAACACUUAAAGAAACUUGUUAAAAAAAUAUUACGUAUCAGAAUCAAUUUGAUCACUAUGUUAAAGAAAAACCCUUUAUAUAAUUACAAGGUAAUUCUUGUGUUCACAGGUUAUGGGGUUAGGCUCUAUAAUGGAACUUUUAUGCGCGUAUAUUUGCUAAAAACAAACUAAAAAAAAUGCAAUUCCUUAAUAUUUUCCAUUGUUUAAAAUUUUUAAUUUUGACAAAUUUUCCGUUGUUUAAUUGUGAUUCUGGUAAUUGAACGGAAAAAGAAAUACAGAGGUAAAUAUUAGGAGAGGACUUGUUCAUGGCUCGUGAGAGAUAAGUCUAGUGGAAUUAGCCUCACAUUAAGAGGGUAGCAUAGUGCAUAGAUCACCUAUUUGCAAAAUUUGGAUAUAUAUAAAUUCUAGGUGAUGAAACUCGUUAAGAUCUCAUAUUCGAUUCUCUGUGAUGCCAAUUUAAGGGAGUUAGUUUAGCUUCUUCAAAAAAAAAAUUAGGUGAUAAAUAAAAUUGAAAAGCAGGUCAGCCCCACAUGGAAAACUCCACCAAAUGAGUAUCAUUUAAUUCGUCAGAUUUUAAGAAAAAGGUUAAGCAAAAGGAUGGAGAGACUGUGAAGGAAAGCAAGCUAGAGAGAGCAAGAGAAGAUGUGCUGUUUCAAGGAAAUAUUAAAGAAAAUUAUAUUUUUCAUACCCAUUUUGCAUGUACUCAUUUUUUAUAUUUUUAUUGGAGGGAGGUAGAAAUGGAAACAAAAGAGAAGUAUAGGAAAAGGUUUAAUUGUAUUUUUAUAUUUUUCACACCCAUUUUGCCUCUCUAUGUUUUUCUUAUUUGUAAUUAAAAUUUUCAUUUAAAAUUAAAAACAAACUUGUAAAAAAUGUAAACGUGAGAGCGGAUGAAGUCCAUAAUUUUUAUUUUUAUUUUGCUUUUUUGGUGAUUCUAAUGUUUAAAAAAAGUCACGCCAAUUAUUAUAGUUAUGCCACAUCGAUAAAUGAUAAAACAUAUAAGGGAUCAAAACAUACAAAAAAAAUAAUAUGGAGGUUAAAAUUAAACAAUUGUUAUACUUAAAAGGUAAAAAGUGUAAUCAUGCCAAAAAAUAAAACGACUGAUUUACAAUACAACUCGUUAAUUAUAACAUUCUUUGAAGAAGAAAGAACAAAGUCUAAAUCACCUAUCUUAAAAUAACUUUUUUAUUUUAAAAUAAAAAAGGAGAAGUCAUACCGCAUACAAGUUAGGAUACACAUCUAUACUCAAAAAUAAUUUUAGAAACUUUUUAAAAAGUAAUUUAAAAACAUCUAUUCACAAGAUAGACGACACAUCAGGGGUGGCCCUUGUUGGAACAAAAUGUGUUUCACAAUGAACCUUAUUAAGUUUUGAUGAUAACAAGGUAUUAAAAAUUGUCAAUUGGUUAUUACUAAUAAUUGUUCAAGUGUACAGGACCAAAGGCUACUCAAGUUAUUUCAAUAGGUCUUGGAAGAACAAUGGAAAGAAAAAGAAAUUCUGAGCAUCUGAAGAAAACUGCUCCUGAAGCUAAACUGCUCCUGAAGCUAAACUGCUCCUGAAGAGAUGACGUCAUCAGAAGCAGAAAGUCAUCAGAAGCAAUAUUUUCAUCAGAAGCAAAAGUUUUCAUCAGAAGCAAUAUUUUCACCAGAAGCUACAUUUGAUCCUUUAAUCAAACUGAAGAUUCAAAGUUGCUGAUUCUCAAUUCAGUCUUAUCAAAGAAGAACGAAGAACUGAAAGGGAGGUAUCAACGGAUAUAUGGAUAACACUGAGCACUUGUCUCUCAUUAAUAGAGUUGACAAAGUACAAGUGUACAACCACUACCUCCACUACUCUGUUUUCUGUCUACGCUACAAGACAAAACAACAGCCAUGCCUGCAGAAUUUGUACAACUCAAGAUGGGAAUGAAUUUGAAGUUUAUUCUUCAAAGGACUACACCCAAAUCAGGCAAAGGAUCACUGGUGGAUAAUCAAAGGAUUUCAAACGACUCUUUAGACGUACUGAUUAUCUCAACGUCUCUUUCACGCCUCUAUAUAAAGGAGUGAAGACUUGAAGAU